AUUGAACGCUGGCGGCAGGCCUAACACAUGCAAGUCGAACGAGCGGCGGACGGGUGAGUAAUGUAUGGGAAACUGCCUGAUGGAGGGGGAUAACUACUGGAAACGGUAGCUAAUACCGCAUACCAUCGGAUGUGCCCAGAUGGGAUUAGCUAGUAGGUGGGGUAAAGGCUCACCUAGGCGACGCUCCCUAGCUGGUCUGAGAGGAUGACCAGCCACACUGGAACUGAGACACGGUCCAGACUCCUACGUGAGGCAGCAGUGGGGAAUAUUGCACAAUGGGCGCAAGCCUGAUGCAGCCAUGCCGCGUGUAUGAAGAAGUCCUUCGGGUUGUAAAGUACUUUCAGUGGGGAGGCGUUACCCGCAGAAGAAGCACCGGCUAACUCCGUGCCAGCAGCCGCGGUAAUUC
rnacentral:rRNA from 1 species